rnacentral:rRNA from 1 species
UACGUAGGGGGCAAGCGUUGUCCGGAUUUAUUGGGCGUAAAGAGCGUGUAGGCGGCCUGGAAGGUCAGCUGUGAAAACUCGAGGCUCAACCUCGAGACGUCGGUUGAAACCACCUGGCUAGAGUCCGGAAGAGGAGUGUGGAAUUCCUGGUGUAGCGGUGGAAUGCGCAGAUAUCAGGAGGAACACCAAUAGCGAAGGCAGCUCGCUGGGACGUUACUGACACUGAGGCGCGAAAGCGUGGGGAGCGAACAGG